CGGACAUGCUGAGACAGGUGGUGCAUGGUUGUCGUCAGCUCGUGUCGUGAGAUGUUGGGUUAAGUCCCGCAACGAGCGCAACCCUUGUCCAUAGUUACUAACGCGUGAAGGCGAGGACUCUAUGGAGACCGCCGGGGACAACUCGGAGGAAGGUGGGGACGACGUCAAAUCAUCAUGCCCCUUAUGAUCUGGGCUACACACGUGCUACAAUGGCCGAGACAGAGAGGAGCGAAGGCGUGAGCCGGAGCGGAUCUCAAAAAAGCGGUCGAAGUUCGGAUUGUGGGCUGCAACCCGCCCACAUGAAGCCGGAGUUGCUAGUAAUCGCGGAUCAGCAUGCCGCGGUGAAUACGUUCCCGGGCCUUGUACACACCGCCCGUCACACCAUGGGAGUUGGGAGCACCCGAAGGCAGUGAGGUAACCGCAAGGAGCCAGCUGACGAAGGUGAGAUCAAUGACUGGGGUG
rnacentral:rRNA from 1 species